AUAAACCCCCUUACAGAGUGCUUUCCCCAAAGAGGGGCCAGGGAGCCUGUGUGAUGCUUGUCACUCACAGCGUUGGCCAGACCCUUUCCGACCUUCUCUGGGGGUCCCCAGAGGUGCAGGAUCUCUCAUGCUCUCUGCAGAACUCGGGCCGUGAGCACUGGACUCCGGGGCUUGCCACCACAGUGGCCCGGCUCGCUUGUCUCAGCAGGCCAGGACGUUGAGGCCAGGAGGCUGGGGGCUGCCGGCCUGGGAGCUCAGUACUUCCAAGCCUGUCGAUUCUUGCAGUGUUUGAAUAGGGAAGGCCUCUGUGCCAGGCUGCCUGGGAAAAGCUUAUUUACUUUUGCCUUUGUAACGGAGGAGAAUUAAUAAACCGAGAAUUUGUCCUGAAAGCUGAUGGACAUAACCUCGCCCUGAACCCGUCCUCCUCGAAGGACCAGCUCACCCGGGAAAUGUUGUCCACCUGCUUUCUUGGGGCAGGGAGCUCCGCGGUAGCUGUUGGUCUGCACACCGCUGGGUUUCACGGAGGCUCUUUGGUUCAGCGGGAGGAGUGCUGGGUUGGAGCCGCGAGAUCUGGAGUUGAUUCUGCACUGACUCUGAGGCCUUGGACAGUACAAAGACUUCUCCUUUCUGCCUCCCCUGAAGCAUGAAGGGGUGGGACCAGUGGUCCCCAGGGGCCCAUCCCCACCUUGCGUCUUGAGGUAGAAUUGGGCUCCUCCUGCUAAGCUUUCUUCCUCUGCAGAAAUUCCUGCUCACUCUCCUUCUGCCUCUGCUGAUCAGCUUCUUCCCUGGUCCUUUGCAGAAGUCCCUGUGGGCAGAGACGUGCUGGUGAAUAGUGAACACCUGCCUGGGCGGGGCCUGGUGUGUAGCAUUUGCCACUUUCCCUGGUGUAUGUACGCUUUCCCUGGAGGGUUUCAGGCCACCCCACGUGACUUCACUCAAGAGAUGUGCAUGGAUCGGCUCUCAAAGCCCAUGUGAGCUGACUUCACCCACCCCUGCCCAUGGGCCUCUCCCAGAAAUGGAGAGUAGACUCAGGAACAAAGAAAUCCAGUGGGAGGGAGAGCUGCCUCUCAACAGAGCGAGAAGCUGUUGGUGCUUUGCUGGCCUCCUUGGUUUGGAGGGGCAUGGCUGCCUUCUGAGUGGAAGCUGGACCCUGGGUGGAGGUACAGGAGGGGGGAACUCCUGGGCUCCCCCACCUCCCAGUGGAGUUUUGGGUCCUCUCUCCAGGCCCUGUCCUUCCACUGCACUCACCCCGUUUGGGGCCCUACGUGGGGCUUUCUGCUAACUGCUCCAGCGGCCCCAGCCUUGGGGGUAGGUGCAACUUCUGGGCACCCUGGCGGCCCUCAGGGAGUCUAGAGAGAGAACUCCGUGGAACCCAGCAGCUGAAUUUAUGUGAACAGCUUCAGGUGCUCCCGGGUGUGUGUAGGGGGUGGGAGGUGACCUUAGAGAUGUCAUAUCUGGUGGCCUCUCAGCACCUCUAUUUUUUUCAUGGAAGAAAAUUGGGUUUAUGUAGACCUGCAACCUGGGUAAGCUUGGGUUAUUCUCAUUUUAGACUUUGGUUUUCCAAGAUAGGGACUAGGUUGGGUGAGUAUGGGACAAGGACCUGGUGAGACUUGAAUGCAGUAUUGGCCAGGUGCUGGAUGUGGGACAGGAGAGAGGAAGGGGCACUAAAUUGGGAGCCUGAGACCUGAAUUCUGCUGGAUCUUGUUUCCUCCUCUGUGAAAGGGUGUAAUGAUAGCCCUGCCUCCUGGAGUUGUUGUGGGGAUUAAAUGAGAUGAUCCCAGUAAAGCCUUUGAUUCAGUGGUGGGCUUAUGAUAAGUGCUCAAUAAAGAAAACAAUAGAACAACAUGGAAAAUACAAACACCACGGUGGAUUGGGGGGCUGAACUGAGCUAAGGUCUCGCAGCUCCUCAUCCGGAGGUGGGACUUGCAGUGGGAGUUGUCGGCAUGGGGACAGGUGCAGGGUCAGCCAGAUGAAAGGCUCUAGGGGAGACCUUGGGAGGGAAGGGGGGCUGCCCAAGGUAGGGGGCAGCUGAGGGAACUGCUCAGUGUCCUCGUCACAGCCUUCCCAGCAGCUGCUGUUAGACCCUCAACUAACAGAGAGUUAAAGACUGGAAAUCAAUGAAAGGUCAAGUGCUUGACUUCACGAUAGCCAGAGGUGGGGGCAGCCCAAGGGUCCAUCAGUGGAAGAAAGGAUAAGCACAAUGGUAUGUAUCCAGGCAAUGGAACAUCAUCCAGACGUUAAAAGGAAUGAAGUCCUGAUACAUGCUACAACAUGGGUAAACCUUGACAACUUUAUGCUGAGUGAAAGAAGCCAGACACAGAAGGCCACUUAGUAUGUGAGUCCGUUUAUAUGAAAUGCCCAGAAUAAGCAAAUCCAGAGACAGAGAGCAGAUUAGUGGUUGCCAAGGACUGGGAAGAAGGAGGAAUGGGGAUGCCUGUUUGAUGGGUACAGGCUUUCCUUUUGGGGUGAUGGAAAAGUUCUGGAUCUAAAUAGUGUUCAGUUCUUAGUUAAAUCAAAAAA